GGAGAGAUGGCUGAGCGGUUGAAAGCGCCCGCCUCGAAAGCGGGUAGGCGCAUUGCGCGCCUCUCGGGUUCGAAUCCCGAUCUCUCCGCCA
rnacentral:tRNA from 1 species